rnacentral:tRNA from 1 species
GAGCAUUAGUUAAAUCCCCAUAACAUUUAAAUUGCAAUUAAAAAUUAUAUUAAUCUAUAUGCUUAAU